UGCUGGCUAGGGAUGAACAGGAACGCUGCUCCUCACCAGUGAGCACAAAGCAGAUGGGACAGGACAGCAACACUCGGUCCCAGAUAUUUAUGAGCUGUGCACUGCCUUCCUCCCUGAAAACUCCUCCCUGGGAGGAUGUAAUCUCUUACACACCAGAUCACAUGCUUUAAAGCAACAAUACUUCUACUUUCUGUUUGGUUUUGUAAAAACUCCCAGUUGGUGAACAAACUAGUGGUGUAAAAGUAGAAAGGCACAUAACUGUCAAAGGAGUGUGGUUAUGCCUUUCCUCUCUCCCCUCACCUGCUUCAGGACAAUCACCACAAGGGGACAAUACAGAUGUCAGGAAACCUGCAGCUAAGGUAUUUGAGAGCCACCAUUCCCAUCCCAGAAACUAAAGAAAAUUUAGGUAUUUUGUGUGUACAUAUUUUUACAUGCAGAAUUUCAUUAAUGGGCGGGAUUCCCUGUCUUCAGCUUCCAAAAGUGCCUUGAUGGCUUGUCAGACUUGUGUCAGUUUUCAAAGGGUCUGUGUCUAUCAUGUGCCUCUAGCGUAAAGCUGCAUGCAUGCUUCAGGCAUGGCAAGUAAUGAUGUAUCACACUGCAAGUGGGCAGAUUCAGAUUAAUGCUGAAAUUUCCAUUUCCCCCGGCUAAGGAAGUCCACAGGCCUUGUCAUGCUGAAGGAGACUUCUGCAUCCUUGGCACAAGGUAAGGGCACUGGGCAGUACUCCAACAUCCACCACCCUGUCUACAGUUGAAUUUCUCAGGCCAAAUCUUGGUUAGAGGUUUAUCCAGAACAGCAUUCAUUAGCCAAAUUCUUCUACUAGGAGUCAGCAGAAUUCAUCUUGGCACCUUAUCCAGGCUUCCAGGAGCACAUAGAAGAAACCCAACCUAAGAUACAACGAAUGAAAUGACUGGGACAGCAAACCACCUAUCUGCACAUGGGAAUGGGAAUGGGAAUUCCAUUUUGCCCAGAUUAAUAAGUUUUAUCCUUCCAUCAGCCCCUUGUCUGGAGGUCCUCUGAAUGAUGUAUCCCCCCCUCCCCCCCCAAGUGGGAAAACCUAUGAUGCAAAAGAUAAGGAUAUUUCUCUAAGUCAGUUACUGAGUUCAGAUGUAAUACUUCCUGCUCAGCCCAAUGCUCUGCUUUCUCUUGAAUUAGAUCUAUUUGCUUUCUUCAAGUCCUUAACAACUUCCACACAUUUAAUUUGCACGUAUGGGCAGAGUGGCUGCCUUCAGGGGGAGGGAUCCCUGAAGAGAAUGCAGUCCAAGCUCUUCCUCAGAGCAUGGUCACCUUGAGCAGGUUGCUCAGGAUCAUGUCCAUAGGGGUUUGAAUGUCUUCAAGAAUGAAGACCCCAGAGACAGAACAACCAAAUGUUUUCCUUAUGUUUAGAUGGAGUCUCCUGCAUUUCCAUUUGCCCUCAGUGCCUCUGGUUAUAGCACUGGGCAACACAGGGAAGAAACAUCACCAAGACCCACCACUUCUUUUUUAACCUAUUAUCAACCUUAUAGAUUAUAGGCAGGCACAGGAUUUCUUCCCCUGCCCCAAACAGGGCUUCCCAGUUAGCUGCAGCAUGGUAGAAGGAGAAACACACAAUUAUGUACUGAAAAAUAGACAUUCAGAGCUCUCCCCAUUCCUUUGCAGAGAUCAAAAAGAAAACAUUAGGCAGCUGAGUCCUCUUUGCACACCAUACUGCAGUUCCUUGCCAGGCAUCAGCUGUGUGCUUAGUACACCACAGACACUCUGAGGCCAGACAUUUCCUGGUUUCAACUUCUAGUUCACUAUCUGUUCUAAGAAAAAAGAGGAGCUCAGAGACCAGCUGCUCUGCCCAGAUUAUUUUAUCUACUAGGUGUGUCUCAGCCUUUGUGAUAGCUGUUGUCCAGUUUUUAAUACUCAGUUUCUCAUCUUGAAACUACAGCAACACUUAGGCACCACCUUUGUGUUUUUCUGAAGACUGCAUACACCAAAUUCAUAGAUUUGAGAGCUGACAGGUUUUAGGAAAGUGUGACAGGUGCUUGAGGCAUUUUUGAAGCCUGCUUUGCCUGAAGAUAGUUACUUGGUCACUUUGGGGAGCUCUCACAAUGAGAACAUCUUUUGCUGCUCAGAGUGAUCACAGAAUCACAGAAUGGCUUGGGUUGGAAGGGACACCUAAGCACACUCAGUUCUAAACCCCUGCCAUAGGCAGGGCUGUCCCCCCCCAUCUCAGGCUGCCUGGGACCCCAUCCAACCUGGCCUUGAGUGCUCCAGUGAUGGGGCACCCCCAGCUUCUCUGGGCAGCUGUACCAGAGCCUCACCACUCUGUGAGUAAAGAAUUUCUUCCUAACAUCUAACCUAAAUCUCCCCUCUUUUAGCUUAAAUCAAUUUCCCCUUGUCCUAUCACUUUUAGAAUGGAAAAAAGUGGGUCUCCUACCUGUUUAUAAGCUCCCUUCAAGUACUGGAAAGCCACAGUGAGGUCUUUCUGCAGCCUUCUCUUCUCCAGACUGAAAAAGACCAGCUCCCUCAGCCUUUCUUCACAGCUGGAGAGGUGCUCCAGCCUUCUGAUCAUCUUUGUGACCUUCUCUGGACCCACUCCAACAGUUCCACAUCCUUCUUGUGCUGGGGGCCCUAGGCCUGGAUGCAAUACUGCAGAUGAGGCUUCACAAGGACAGAAUACAAGGGGACAAUCCCCUCCCCCUCCCUUCUGCCACUCAUCCUCUGAUACAGCCCAGGAUACAGUUGGUGGGUCCAAUGUGGGGGUCCAAACAGAAGCUGCAAAAAAAAAAGAAGAAAUGUGACACAGAAGGUGCUGAACAUGGCCAAGAUAUUAUGCUUACUUUGGUCUGGACUCGUGCAAAGAGCACAAAGAAAGUAGGGAACCUUUGAAAUCGCACUUGACACUGAAAAAUUAAGAGCCCAAACUAUCCCUGGAAAGUGGGAGACAACAAAGCAUGGAUGAGAGACAUCUCUUCAAGAAGCACCCCAAGGCCUGCUAUCCUGGCUGGUUCUGCUUAUGUGACAGCUCCCAGAACUGGCUGGAAUCCCAUGCCCCUGUACUUGUCAAAAAGAAGAAAUAUGGUUAUGCGUUGGUGUGACAACAAGCUCCUGAGAGCCCAUUUUCCUGAGCCUUGGGCUGAAGACUCUCGGGGAAAAUAAGGCUGCAAGAGAGGACUCACACUGUCAUAUUCUUUCCAGUGUCAUGAAAAACAGCUGACAAAGAAUGUGCAACCAGCUGCCUUUCAAAAGAUCAAAGUUUGCUCUUUUGGUACAUUUAAUACUGUUAUGUUUCCUAGAUAAUUAAGUACUCCCACCCACAGUUAUAAAAAAACCACAGAAGUAAGAUUUCCUUCAAUUUGUUCAGUUCUGUGUGUGAGAAGAAAAGUCUUAAAAGUCAGGCCUUGCUUUUAUCAAAUAUCUCAAAGGGAAGUUAGAAAAAAUGCAGCCAGGUUAACUGGAGGAUUUGGAGCACAGUCCCCUGGCUGACUGAGAGACCAGCUCCAGAUCCUGCUUUGGGACAUCCAGCUCCACCUGGCUUGAGAUUCUUCCCCUUGAGAGGUUUCCUUACCUUAUAGACAAAGCAGCUGUUAUUGCCAUUGCUUUACUUUUUGUUUAGUUUUCAUACUUGCUGUAUGCUUGACAAUAUCUGGUGCGUGGUACACAAACAAGGAAAUAAAUGCUACAGAAGCUGAAGAAGUAAAAUGUCACGGUGAGUAACUGCUUGUGGGUGUGGGGUUAACUGGAGCUUUAAUCCUCUGGGUUUAUGUGUAAACUCUGCAGUGUGCGGUCUUGUGAUGAGAAAAUAAUGACUACAAGUUAGCAGUAAAAAUCUUGUCCUUCCUUGUACGUAGUGCCAAACACGUUUAAAUGAUGGUCUGCAUUUCCAAAUGAUGGGUUGGCAGCUCAGUCUUUGUAGAGAACCUUGGGAAGGAUUUCCUCAUUAUUGUUCACAAAAGAGAUGCACAUGCAUCACUAGGGUUAAAAAAAGCUCCCCUGAAAAACUGUUCUGCAGAUGUUUGCCUGCUGUGAUGACUGCUGGAUAACAGCAGCUAGAUGUGGAGGUGCAGAAAUGCAACAGCUAUUAGUUCAUAAAGGAGAGAUGUGAUAUGGAAGGGAGAGAGGCUUGGGCUGCCCUUCAUUGGAUAUUUAUAUCUAUAGUCCAUAAUCAGAGUUCCAGACAGCUCCUCCUGUAAGAGGCUGUGGUUGUUGUGCUGUGUGCGGGUCUGCAAGAGAGUGCAUUUUGGCAUCUGCCAUGGGGUGGCUGCACAAAGUAAUGGAUGCAAAACUGUGGCUUUUGGUUUUAAAUAUUUCAGUCAUUGCUCACAGUGCUGUUUGAUUAUUUGCUGCGCGGUGUACCAGAGCUACUCAUUCUGUGAUGAGCACAGACUUUGUUUGUAUGUAUUUAGUGUCUACAAUUGAUAGGUUUGUACAAGGUUCAUCUCUCACCUCUCCACUGCCUCACAGAUUCUUGUUUUUUCUAGAUCUUAUUGUAAUGAUAGUGUGAAAAUCCUAGAAAGGUUCACUACUUUUGGAUAUUCACCUGAGAAUAUCUUAAAAGGGGAAGGUAUAAUUUCUCUGCAGGAAACCUCAGCUAUGAAAAUGUGUAAAAGCGCAUCAUUAAUGUAAGCAAAAAGGGAAAGAGAAGUGUAGUGCUGGUGCAAACAUGUCUGCAAAACUGUCAAAUGUAUUUCGGUAUUAUUUUCUGGUAAAUACCAGAUUAUACAUUUGAUGGGAGACACAGAACGGAUGAUGGUAAGGAAUUGAUUCAUUUUCUUCCCAGAAGAAGGAGAGUUACAGUCUUGAUCUGGGCAAGAGUGGUGGGGAAAUAGCUGAAAUUCCAGCAAAUUCCAGCAAACUCAGCAAAUUCCGAUGAUGCAGACAUAUGUAUGGCUGGAAGCUAUUUUUAGCAGCCACCUGGGAGUUAACAAGUAUCCAGUCCAAAACCAGAAGUACUGCCGCAGUUUCAAAAUCAUUUCCCUUAAUGUUGGGUUUAUUCCAAAGUGGAGAGAAUAUUUGGGAUCCCAGCUGAGCGCAGGGCUUACCUUUACAAUCUGCUCAUCUGUAGGAAUUAUGUAAGCGCAGAGCACCGUGAUCAGAGUGUGUUUAUAACGUUAGGAGAAGAUACAGCUGAUGUCAGGCUGCUUUGUUUUAUUAGCAAGAUAAAGUGUUAUGCCUCUGAAGACUUUGAGUGAGAUGUGAUCAGUGUGAUCGGCGUUAGGUGAAUACUGGGUAUUUGCAGACAUCUCAUCUAGUUAGACGAAGCAUUAGAAGAGCUUUUGACAAAGAGUUGGAAGGAAAUUCCCAGUAUCUGGACGUUCCAGUGAUGUGGCAGGAGGAAAUAGUUGUUCAUAUCAGUGAAAGAAUUCCUCUUAGCUGGAAAUGUGGUAUUGCUGGCUCUUUGCACAUGGACAGCACAGACACAGCCAUGUUCUCAGCCUCUUGCAAUGAACAACAGUCUGCACUUGGGAAACUCGGCAAAUUCUGUGUUAUUACAAGGACAGCGGUUUGAACUCCGAUUGGUGCAGCUGAGUGGCUGUGGUCUGGCGCAAGCAAUGAAGAACUGAAGGAGACACAGUUGCAGUUGUGAACCCAUACCAAAUAAACAUUGCCUGGAGUGAAGCUGCACUCCUGGGAGCGUGCGGCUGGUUCAGGCGCUUCAAACCCCAGCAUAUUUUUGUGCGAGACUCAAGCAAGAGCACAGCGUAAGCAGCCGAGCCAUCUGCAGCCUUCUUCUAGCGCUUAAGCUCUUUUCCUCUGUUCCCGAAGCCCGGCGGUGCCGCGCACUCUCGAGAGGAGGAACGCGCUGUUCCUGCGCCGCCCUGCGCGGCGCACAACCUCCGCCGGGAGGCAGCAGCGCGCCGCGAGUUAAUGCUCUUAGUCCGGUGAUUGAUUCAAGUUGUGACACGGGGUGAUUCGGAAGCGUGUUGCUCAGGCGCAGGGGCACAGCCCGAAAGAUGCGCUGUGACAAUUGCAGAUGGCACAUGAGUAAAAUGUGUUUUGUUGGAA